UUUCCCAAAUGGUAGUAUUUAUAGACAAAAGAUUAGGGCUUUUGAAUUUUGGGCGGGAUUUUGAAUUUCAAACUUUGAAAUUUUUGUGACCAAAUCCAAACGUUGGGAAAUGGCAGGAACUAGUUCAGAGGAAGACAGAGAAAACAUACAAGUCAUGCUCAAUCCUUAUCUUCGCGCAUAUGAGUUUGGCCUUAUGAAGAUAUUGAGUGAUACUUAGAUCAUCUUGCUUCAUGUUUUGAAGUUGCAUAUGAAGAUUCAGAAUUUGGGUAUUUGAAGAUGAGGAGAGAGCAGCCUUCAACGCGUCCCAAACUUCUUUGGCGGUGGAAAGACCUAGUACAACGGGAAUCACUUCUUCCAAGAGCGACGAGAU
rnacentral:lncRNA from 1 species